rnacentral:rRNA from 1 species
AUACGUAGGGGGCAAGCGUUGUCCGGAAUUAUUGGGCGUAAAGGGUGCGUAGGCGGCCUUUUAAGUCUGAUGUGAAAGCCCCCGGCUCAACCGGGGAGGGUCAUUGGAAACUGGGAGACUUGAGUGCAGAAGAGGAGAGUGGAAUUCCAUGUGUAGCGGUGAAAUGCGUAGAUAUAUGGAGGAACACCAGUGGCGAAGGCGGCUCUCUGGUCUGUAACUGACGCUGAGGCUCGAAAGCGUGGGGAGCGAACAGGAUUAGAUACCCUGGUAGUCCACGCCGUAAACGAUGAGUGCUAAGUGUUGGAGGGUUUCCGCCCUUCAGUGCUGCAGCAAACGCAUUAAGCACUCCGCCUGGGGAGUACGACCGCAAGGUUGAA